rnacentral:lncRNA from 1 species
GCUGAAUAGCUGAGAGGCGCACCCGGGCGGCCAGCUGGGCUCGGAGUGCAGCGGGGUUAGGAUGGACGAGGACGUGUUGCACCCUGAAGAGCCUCAUCAUCGCCUGCUCUUGAGGUUCACAGAUGAUACCUUUGAUCCAGAACUUGCAGCAACAAUAGAUCCAUCUUCGGUUGUGAAUCCGGCCCGGAAUGCAGCCACCCCUUAGAGCAACCCCCCUUGCUGCUCGUGCCCUGCUGUGCUACUGCCUCAGUCACUUCCUGCUUGGUCAAGACCACAGCUGCUGAUGUCACAGCUGAGGCACAUCAGAAAGGCUGCCUGAUUCAAAGAAAGCUGCCGGAUAAAUCAUAGAGCACAGACACUUCUACCUCAUGCUCUUAUGGGACUUUAGGAACCAAACAUAAGCACCUAUGGAAAAUGCACGGCGGUCUUGAAAGGCUGUGGUCUUUAUCAGAAAAUAUCUGAAUGACUGUUUGUUAUGUCAGUCCUACUCUGCAGGCUUGCUAAGAUGAUGAUUGAAAGGGCUCUUGGUUUCUGCUUUGGAAUCUGGCAUUUAUGUUUUGAAGCGUUGUGAGCAAGCGAUGUGGCAGAUUGCAGGGUGAGGGGGACAAACCUGGGCCAGGAGCCAGGGGUUUCUCUACCCCCUUCCCUGACUUACAGCUGGAACUGGGCUCAGUGGUUUCAGCCUCAUUUGCUAAGAAGGUCUGGGUAUGUAAUCCUGGCUGCAUCUUAAAAUCCCUAGGAGCUUUUAAGACAUAUUGACACAUAAGCUCUAACUCACAUGAAACGAAAACACAUCUCUGGGGCUGGGCUGAGCAAAUGCAUUUUUUAAAAGGCCCCUCAGGUGAUUCUGUCUCAGAGAUGUUGAAAACCAGUGGGUUAGGAGCUCAGUCAUCCACUUUCAGAUCUGUGAUUAUGCCACUAUUAAAUACAGUUGGCUAUCACAUAGAUUUUAUGCUUUAGCUUGUUCUUUUUUCCUUUGCUAUACCAAAUAAAAUCUUCUGAGCUGUAGUUCCAGUCCUUAAAAUAAUGGUUGUUACCAUACUGAGGUUAAACAUUAGUGCAUUUGCUUAACAAGGACUUUAAAACUUAUCACACUGCCAUAAUUUUUAAUGGUUUCUAUAAUGAUUAAUUAAUAAGAAAAUCAAUAAUUGGAUUUUAAGCAGGAAACUAGGCAGGAAAGUUGAAAUUCAUAGACCAAUUCAAUGGAAAACAUUAAAAUGUAUUGGGAGAUGCCCAAUAUUCUA